rnacentral:misc_RNA from 1 species
GACGGAGGGCGCAAGCGUUGUUCGGAAUUACUGGGCGUAAAGCGCGGGCAGGUGGUCAGUUAAGUCGUCUGUGAAAACCCGGGGCUCAACCCCGCGGAAUGCAGACGAUACUGGCUGACUGGAGAUCGGUAGAGGCUAGCGGAAUUCCAGGUGUAGCGGUGGAAUGCGUAGAUAUCUGGAAGAACACCUGUGGCGAAGGCGGCUAGCUGGGCCGAGUCUGACACUCAUCCGCGAAAGCGUGGGGAGCAAACAGG